UCCUAACAGAUAGUGCAGAGACAAAAGCCAAAGUCUGUCUGACUAGGUACAGUGAGAGAAAAUUGUUCAAGCCUCCAGAGAGCCCAGACAUUUACCUCUCUCGUUCUCCAGCUCAGCUCGCAGAAUAUCUGGAAGAGAAAAGGAAGAAAGAGGUGAGGUUUCAUCUUGUUGUAUUAACUGGGUUAUUCCUACUGUUAUUUCAGGGAACUUGUCCCAGGAACUUACCUCUCUCUUUCUCCAGUUCAGAGUGCAGAUUUUCUACAGAAAGAAGAGUGAAAGAGGUGCAUAAAUUCCCAGUGAAUGCAAAGUGGCUCUAGAGUCUUUUAGUAUGUGGAGGGAUUCAUCCAUUUUCUCUUCAAAUAGUUUGGAUCCUUCAAAUGGAAGGUCCUCCACAGUAGACUGGACUUUCCUUGGAAAGCCAGAAAGGUGAAGCCAGGAAGCUCCGCAUGCCCACUGCUGUUGAGAUGAAGCAGGCAGCUGUGUCAGCGGUGUUUAGAGAGGGGCCUGCAACAAUGUCCUUGCAAGAAGCGGACCCUCAGUAGUGAUCACCUGAAACUAAUGGGAGAUGGUCAAUGAAGGCGUUUAAUGUAGAAUAAUUGAUAUGGUUGUAUUUUGCCAUAAGAGCUUGGUAAUUAGCAAUCUUAAAUUGCAGGGUCACCUAAGAAUAUGAUUUUCAAGUUGUUUUAAGUUCUGUCAUAGGGUGUAGAUUUAGCAUGGUGCUGUUUGCCACGUUCAUUUACAGCAUCGAUUACAAGGGAGUUUGGGAAUGGGUGGGAAAAUAAAAAAUCUGAGUCUUCAGAGGGAACAUAAUAUUUGUAUCCGCUCUCUUGCAUGUGGGAUCUACUGUGCCACCUAGUCUUUGCUGGGUCCAGCAAUACCCUGUUAAUAGUGAGUGCAAUACAGGAGGAUGAUGAAGUGUGUAGGAUGUCGAGCAGCUUGUGUUGCAACACCUUGACUUCUUCCAGUGGAAUUUGUAGAGAAUCCACUUCCUCUCUUGAUGAAGUCUUCAAAUGGUUUGAAGUCAUUUGCCAAAGUUGGUGGUGGAGGCAUAAUAGCUUCAUCCGGAGAGGAUGAAGAGAUGUUAGUCACUGGAGUAAUCCCUUUGUCUAAUCUCACUGCCUGUUCUUCUCCUGUGGAUCAGGAGAUCUAGACAGAGAAGCAGUAGGAGAUUGCCUUCUCCUAUCCUGAUGAGCAACAGUAGUGGCCCUCAAGAAUUGGAGUCUAUAGGCCAGUAGGGCCACUGAGGUGGUGCAAAGGGCAUUCAUGGGUGCACCCAAGGAUGUUCAUACCAACUGUGUGGUCAUGUCUCUCAUAGUGGUAAGCUGGUUCUGCAGAGGUUUCUGGGUGAUUCGCUCCCUGGUAGUGGGACAGAGAGCCUUCCAAGGAGACUGAGGAGAAUUUGUCAUCCUCCUCCUCAUCGUCACUUGGAAGAGGUGGAGCUGUCAUGGAUUCUGUGGGAGACUCCAUUGAUACUGCAUAUAUGUCUGGGCACUGAGAUGUGGUCAGUACCAAGAAUGUGUCAGUGCUGAACCGGGACGACUCAGGCAUCUCUGAAACCAGCAAGUCUUUAGGAAAAUGAAAUUCCUGUGAUACCAAAAUAGCAGGUGGCAUCACUGAGGUAAGCUCAGUGGCUCAUGUAAAAGGAGCUGACAGUAGCGGGAGUCUUUUGCACUCUGAUAAAUGGCCAGUAGUGUUGUUCUGGUCUUCUGAAGAGCCGAAGUACUUGGUAUUGAGGCCCUAAAGCACUCUAUCGGAGAUGAGCUAGAGGAGCUGGUUCUCUCUCUACCAUCCCUUUCCCCCAAGUGGCACCAAACUCCAUAGCCUGUGCUCUUUGGGUUUUUAGGCUUACUGGUGGUACCAGUAGCUGAGAAGCCAGUCGUCUCAUGGGUAUCCAGUUGUAGAUCAGUCAGUACCAAGGUGGUUGAUCUUGUUAGGAAUCAUUUCUUUGUGGUAAAUUCUCUACCCAAUGACUUGUAGCCUGCUUUUUUGUGGCUUUUUGAGAGGAAUCCAAACAUUUCCUCUUCCAAGCUGCCACAGAGUGUUGAGCCGAGGAAGUAGAUGGAAUCGGCCAUUUUGGAGACUGUUGUACAGGGGUGGGGGGGAGGGUUGUCCCAGCGCCAGGGUCAGAGGCCAAUCCCAGUGAACUUUCCAUUAUUAGUAGUCAUAGUUUUAGUUAAAGGUUAUUCCUAGCUUUUAAUUUCAGGCAGAAAGUACACUCUUAAGGCACGUGUGACUCUCUAAGACAGCAAAUGCAGUGGGAAUGUACAUCACUGACUGGAAUUGGUUCACGGCAGGAGAAACAACACUUAAACCUGGAAGAGCCAGGCAUACCCUGUCCAGGUUUCACUUCCCCAGAGGGAGGAGGCAAGAAAGAACUAAGGACAGGGAGUUCGCUAGUCUUAUAACAAAAUAAAGAGGGGGGAUUACUUUAUUGUUCUUUUUUUUUUGAAAAUAAAAAAAAGGAAACAGAAGGGGAGUAUGAACACUAACUGACUGAAAUGCAA